AAGUUCUGUCGGAGGUCUUGAGUCUGGGAGGAGAAAGAGAGAAAUAGAGCUGUUUAUAUAUUGUGGGUGAAACUCCUCAGAGGGACUUAAGAGUGACAGUUUUGUGAGAUGGAAAGAGCGAUGUUAUCUAUGAAGGCGAUGAUAUAUGGAAACCAUCGCGAUUUGAGGAUUGGAAGAACGGAAAAAUUCACACAGGAUUAUUAUUGGUGUUUAUCGGCUUAAGGAGACUAUCAGAAGAUAUCAUAAAGAAAAAAGAGAAAAUAUAUGAACAAGAUGUGAUGUUGAAACAGCAAGAUAAGACUGGAUAGAAUUAUGAACUCUGUUUGGACUGAUUUGGACAUUAACGCAGUAGCAAGAAGAUGAUCAGAAUCCCCCUUCGGAUCUUGAAAUAUGGGGCCCCCCCAACAAUAUUUAAAAUUCGGCUUUGUAAUUCGGAAUUUAUGUGAUGUGAUUUAAUUUGAUUUGAUUGGCCGGUUAAUAAAAAUUAUUU